rnacentral:rRNA from 1 species
UACGAAGGGUGCUAGCGUUGUUCGGAAUUACUGGGCGUAAAGCGCGCGUAGGCGGCUAUACAAGUCAGGGGUGAAAUCCCGGAGCUUAACUCCGGAACUGCCUUUGAAACUGUAUAGCUGGAGUGUGUGAGGGGAUAGCGGAAUUCCUAAUGUAGAGGUGAAAUUCGUAGAUAUUAGGAGGAACACCGGUGGCGAAGGCGGCUAUCUGGCACACAACUGACGCUGAGGCGCGAAAGCGUGGGGAUCAAACAGG